GAUGAACGCUGGCGGCGUGCCUAAUACAUGCAAGUCGAGCGAACAGACGAGGAGCCUGCUCCUCUGACGUUAGCGGCGGACGGGUGAGUAACACGUGGAUAACCUACCUAUAAGACUGGGAUAACUUCGGGAAACCGGAGCUAAUACCGGAUAAUAUAUUGAACCGCAUGGUUCAAUAGUGAAAGACGGUUUUGCUGUCACUUAUAGAUGGAUCCGCGCCGCAUUAGCUAGUUGGUAAGGUAACGGCUUACCAAGGCAACGAUGCGUAGCCGACCUGAGAGGGUGAUCGGCCACACUGGAACUGAGACACGGUCCAGACUCCUACGGGAGGCAGCAGUAGGGAAUCUUCCGCAAUGGGCGAAAGCUUGACGGAGCAACGCCGCGUGAGUGAUGAAGGUCUUCGGAUCGUAAAACUCUGUUAUUAGGGAAGAACAAAUGUGUAAGUAACUAUGCACAUCUUGACGGUACCUAAUCAGAAAGCCACGGCUAACUACGUG
rnacentral:rRNA from 1 species